CCUACGGGCGGCAGCAGUGGGGAAUAUUGCACAAUGGGGGAAACCCUGAUGCAGCAACGCCGCGUGAGUGAAGAAGUAUUUCGGUAUGUAAAGCUCUAUCAGCAGGGAAGAAAAUAGCCGUUACUUACCUAAGAUGCCCUGGCUAACUACGUGCCAGCAGCCGCGGCAAUACGGAGGGGGCAAGCGUUAUCCGGACUGACGGGGGGUAAAGGGAGCGUAGGCGGUGUAGCAAGUCAGAAGGGAAAGCCCGUGGCUCAACCUCAGAACUGCUUUUGAAACUGUUAAGCUAGAGUACGAGAGAGGAAGGCGGAAUUCCUAGUGUAGCGGUGAAAUGCGUAGAUAUUAGGAGGAACACCAGUGGCGAAGGCGGCUUGCUGGACGGAAACUGACGUUGAGGCGCGAAAGCGUGGGGAGCAAACAGGAUUAGAUACCCUUGUAGUC
rnacentral:rRNA from 1 species